rfam:Sorghum bicolor cultivar BTx623 chromosome 3, whole genome shotgun sequence.
GUAGUCGGAUUCGCAUCAAUCCACAUGUGUUGGAGUAGGUUAGAGUGAAAAUUGAACUAAAUUCCACUCUAAUCCACUCCAACACAUGUGGAUUGAGGUGAAUCCGCA